CAGGGAGCCCUGGACAUUUCCUGUCCAUAUUUGCAUAUAGAAAGACCCCUCUGGGAACAGAGAGGAGAGUGGGUUAGAGGGAACCAGAGUGGACAGGAGACCCUGGCUGUAUCCAGUGGGAGGUGAUGGUGGCCUGGAAUUGGGGGCAGGGCGAUGAUGGAGAGAAAGGGGCUGUGAGAUGCGUCCAGGCAGGAGGCUGGCCAGGGUCCUCCCCCAAGUGGCCCCCGCCCCUCAGUUUCU
rnacentral:lncRNA from 1 species